UACGUAAGGUGCGAGCGUUAAUCGGAAUUACUGGGCGUAAAGCGUGCGCAGGCGGCUUUGCAAGACAGAUGUGAAAUCCCCGGGCUCAACCUGGGAACUGCAUUUGUGACUGCAAGGCUAGAGUACGGCAGAGGGGGAUGGAAUUCCGCGUGUAGCAGUGAAAUGCGUAGAUAUGCGGAGGAACACCAAUGGCGAAGGCAAUCCCCUGGGCCUGUACUGACGCUCAUGCACGAAAGCGUGGGGAGCAAACAGG
rnacentral:rRNA from 1 species